AAACCAAUGAUGAAAAAAGAAAAGAAAAAAUAAGCACAAAAAAUAUGAAAUAAGAGAAAAAAGAAAAGAAAAAUAAGAAAAAUAGAAAAAAGGAGAAAAGAAAAAAAUGAACAAAAAAGACAAAAAAGAGAAAAGAAAAAAAUGAACAAAAAAGACAAAAAAGAGAAAAGAAAAAAAUGAACAAAAAAGAGAAAAAAGAGAAAAGAAAAAAAUGGACAAAAAAGAGAAAAAAGAGAAAAGAAAAAAAUGACAAAAAAGAGAAAAAGGAGAAAAGAAAAAAAUGAACAAAAAAGAAAAAAAGAGAAAAGCUAAAAAAGAAAAAAGAUAAAGAAAAAAGAAAAAAGAGAAAAUAGAAAUAAAAAAGAGGACAGAAAAAUAUGAAAAAAAGAAAAAAGAAAAAAAGAAAAGAAAAAAAUAAUAGAUGAAAAAAAGAAAAAACGAAAGGAAAAACGGAUAAUGACAAGAGAAGAAAGGUAAAGAGAAAAGAAGAAAAAAGCCAAGUCAAAAAGUAAAGAAUAACUCGAAGGAAGGAGUGGAUGGCAAGAAAUACAGGGAAAGCAAUGCAUAGCACAGCAAAGCAAAGCAAGGCAAAAUAGCAGCCAAAGCCAUGAGAAUCAAGAAGUCAGUGAAGAGCAGGAAAGGAAUGGAGGAAUCUGGCCAGAGCUGUGCCCCUGCUUGCCACAGGAGCUGCGCGGGAGGAGAAGAAUGUGGGCCAAAAGGUAAGAGGAGCUCCUUUGGGUUCUGGGCUUGAAGCAAAGCUGAGAAGCCAUGCCCGGGAGGAGGUGUGGGUAGCUACAGGCCACCUUGCUAUCUCCCCAAGAGAUGAGGUGCGUGGGCUAGGCACCGGGCAGGAGUGCUGGCCAGAAGCAAGCAUCUCUGUGGAGGAAGGCAAAGGGCGGAGGAGGUUCAAGGGUAGCUACCGGGCAUGGCCUUGCUCAGCAAGGGGAGGAAAAGCCUGAAGGGCACGAGAAGGGGAUAGAGAAGGGCAGGCAGUAGGCGUGAAGCUGCGAGCAGAGUAGAGAGCAACUUGGCAGAGCAGCAAGCAGAGUAGGCAAGUGUUGAGGUUUGGCGUGAGUAGCAGCAAAAGCCCAGAGCAUCAAGAAGCAGGAAGUGAGGAGAAGGUAAGUGAAGGGCAGGCAAGGUAAUGGGAGGCAAAGGCAAGGGGAAAGGGG
ensembl:lncRNA